rnacentral:rRNA from 1 species
CACGUAGGGGGCAAGCGUUGUCCGGAAUCAUUGGGCGUAAAGAGCUCGUAGGCGGCUCAGUAAGUCGGGUGUGAAACCUCCAGGCUCAACCUGGAGACGCCACCCGAUACUGCUGUGGCUAGAGUCCAGUAGGGGAGUGUGGAAUUCCCGGUGUAGCGGUGAAAUGCGCAGAUAUCGGGAGGAACACCAGCGGCGAAGGCGGCACUCUGGGCUGGUACUGACGCUGAUGAGCGAAAGCUAGGGGAGCAAACGGG